rnacentral:rRNA from 1 species
CCAGAGAACUUUCCAGAGAUGGGAUUGGUGCCUUCGGGAACUCUGAGACAGGUGCUGCAUGGCUGUCGUCAGCUCGUGUUGUGAAAUGUUGGGUUAAGUCCCGCAACGAGCGCAACCCUUAUCCUUUGUUGCCAGCGGUUAGGCCGGGAACUCAAAGGAGACUGCCAGUGAUAAACUGGAGGAAGGUGGGGAUGACGUCAAGUCAUCAUGGCCCUUACGAGUAGGGCUACACACGUGCUACAAUGGCGCAUACAAAGAGAAGCGACCUCGCGAGAGCAAGCGGACCUCAUAAAGUGCGUCGUAGUCCGGAUUGGAGUCUGCAACUCGACUCCAUGAAGUCGGAAUCGCUAGUAAUCGUGGAUCAGAAUGCCACGGUGAAUACGUUCCCGGGCCUUGUACACACCGCCCGUCACACCAUGGGAGUGGGUUGCAAAAGAAGUAGGUAGCUUAACCUUCGGGAGGGCGCUUACCACUUUGUGAUUCAUGACUGGGGUGAAGUCGUAACAAGGUAAGCGUAGAUGA